ensembl:lncRNA
CUGCUCUUAACAUUCAAAUGGUAAAAACCAAAACUGGUGAGAAAGCUCUCAAAUUAUAUGUAAAGGUGUUCUGUCUAACUGCUUCUGGCCAAAAAAAGCAAGGAAUUGGCAAAAAAGUCAUUUCAGAUUUCAGCAUAUUGGACUGAUCCCUCAAAUUUUAUCUUUCCAGUCACUUGGAUGUGGCAGUUAAUCACUCAUGCAUGUUCUGAAACUGAAGUUGCUGAUUUUCUGCUUUGGACUCCAUUUAGAGCAAUCAGAGGGACGCUGUAACCCCGAUUAGCCGGCUGCCCUGGAGUGAAGAAGUACCUUGUUAUUGUGGAGACGUUGUGGCUACUUUGUGCACCCCUUAAAACUCCAGGGAAAGUCCUUAUGUUCCAUUUAUGAAUGAGCGCGCACACACAAAAGUUCACAACUGUUUCCUAUUAGUCAGAGUAUCUUGUAAUAGUGCUUCUUUCAGAUUGCUCCUGCGUAUUGAAAAAAAAAAAUGUUUGUUUUAACAGACCCUAUGUAUUUGUACAAAACUGAUCUGAAUAAUUCUAAACAUGUAGGAAUAUACGAUAUUGUUGCUUAUGGCAGCUGAACAACUAAUCUACUUGAUGCAGUGAUACUGAAUACGCUUCAGAGAGUGCGUGGCAGUCGUGUAGUGUGUGUGUUGGAGCUCUUCAAUGAGGUUUUAGUUAUUUCAAGUCAGUAUUUUCUGUUAGAAUCCCCCCAGCUAAAAAAUAAAAUGAAAAGCCAAGCACAAACCUUGCACUUCAAAUAUGAACUGGAAACAAACCCGAUUUACAAUUCACUAGGUGAAAAUUGCUCUCUUCUGCCAUAAUUCAAUGCACAUUUGGUUUAUUUGAGAAUUCAUAUAUUAUAACCAUUCUUGCUCACACUUAUGCAUAUCUUGGUUUGGUGCAUGCAUGCAGUGGGGCUGAUUUUUCCCCCCGUUUUUUCUUUUCUUAUUUCUUUUUUUUCCUUCUGGCUUUACGUUGGAAGUGGAGGCCUCCCCCUCCCGACAGGACCUUCCACCUGAGGGCAGCACAGUCAUCAGCUCGAACUUCUUCGGAGUCAAUCUUGCUUGUCCCAAUCCAGCUUCAUUGCGGCUCCAGUGAGAUCCCAAGUGGAGGAUCCCCUGUGACAGACAGCACUACUGCCAGGACCUGACAUGGAGCUGGGGCUGCCGGCGGGAGCCAAGCUGCAGCAGAGCAAGCAGAGAGUCUGGUGCACUCGUAUGGGCAGGUAACUCUUGGAACUUCCUUGCCUUAAGACAUAAAUUUCAGCGCAUUUUUUAACUGCUAAUGAUUUAGGAUCUUAAACAACUUUAAAAUAUUCCUUUAAAUGAAAUCUUUGCAGUUAACCUUUAACUGCUUCCAGUUCACAGAAUCUUUUACAAGAAAGGGCAGGAAAUCAAUAGCUUUAAAAAGCAAAAGCAACAGCCCUAGCAUCAAUGUGUGCCAUAUCGCACCAGUGUGCCAGUGCGAGCAAUUGCCUGGAGCAGGCAGGAGGUGAUGCAGAAUAGCCAUCCUCUGGGUUACUUUUGCAUUAUAACUUGGCUCCUAAAGAAUGUUACGAGGGAAAAGGGAGGGUGAAGGUUGGUUUCAUCACCAAGCCAUUAUGAGGGGGAACCUGGGGCAAAUGAUGUUUGUCCAUACAGGAAUCCCUAAAUCCAUCGAUUUCUCAGAGCUCAUUAGUGGGAGUAUGGCAAGCAGAAUUUUGACCUGCUUUUAGUGUUGUGCUUGUCCUGGAAAUUGUUGCUACUUUUGUCACUCUAUUACAAGUACUAUGAAACAGGGAGAGAUCUAAACUUAAACCAUCUGUUUAUCAACCUCAAUUUCUCCCCCUAUGCAAACAAACCAAAACUGCUCUCUCUCCCCCAUACACACACACACACACCCUGUUCAGUAAGUUUUACUUUGUUUGGCUUUUCCAUGCUUUUGUCUCAGAUGUUAGAAGGCUGGACACAAGGUCAUUCACUAACCAUUUCAUGUGGAUACAGCAAGUCACUUCAGGUCUUCUCCCCCUCCCCUCAAUUCAUCUGAAAUCUCUGCUGUGCAGUAAUGGAACUGCAAACAGUACAGUAAAGCCCUCAUGGUGAAAAAUAAAAAAGUGCUCUUGUUCCA